UUUUUCAGCUCCGAGGCUCUUUCUUCGCUACUUACCUCUAGUUAUCCCUUGGAGCAAUGUAUACGUAAUACGCAUGUGCAGUUUUUGCCCUGUGCACAUCAAAGCUCCUCACAGGAAAGCACUGAAUCCAUAGUUUCCUAUGAGGCCUUCUGCAUCACAUGUCGUUGCAGCAGAAGCACCUCCAGUGGCUAUCAGUGUAACAGCCAAGGAAGGUGUGUUUAACCCGUUUCUUUAAAAUGGC